rnacentral:rRNA from 1 species
UACGGGGGGGGCAAGCGUUGUUCGGAAUUACUGGGCGUAAAGGGCUCGUAGGCGGCCAACUAAGUCGGAUGUGAAAUCCCCAGGCUCAACUUGGGAACUGCAUCCGAUACUGGAUGGCUUGAAUUCGGGAGAGGGAUGCAGAAUUCCAGGUGUAGCGGUGAAAUGCGUAGAUAUCUGGAGGAACACCGGUGGCGAAGGCGGCAUCCUGGACCGACACUGACGCUGAGGCGCGAAAGCUAGGGUAGCAAACGGG